GACGAACGCUGGCGGCGUGCUUAACACAUGCAAGUCGAACGGUAAGGCUCCAGCUUGCUGGGGUACACGAGUGGCGAACGGGUGAGUAACACGUGGGUGACCUGCCCUGCACUUCGGGAUAAGCCUGGGAAACUGGGUCUAAUACCGGAUAGGACCAUGGUGUGGAUAGUGUGGUGGAAAGUUUUUUCGGUGUGGGAUGGGCCCGCGGCCUAUCAGCUUGUUGGUGGGGUAAUGGCCUACGAAGGCGGCGACGGGUAGCCGGCCUGAGAGGGUGGACGGCCACAUUGGGACUGAGACACGGCCCAGACUCCUACGGGAGGCAGCAGUGGGGAAUAUUGCACAAUGGGCGGAAGCCUGAUGCAGCGACGCCGCGUGGGGGAUGACGGCCUUCGGGUUGUAAACUCCUUUCACCAUCGACGAAGGGUUUCUGACGGUAGAUGGAGAAGAAGCACCGGCUAACUACGUG
rnacentral:rRNA from 1 species